rnacentral:ncRNA from 3 species
GAAUUUCCAUUUUUUACCUUGACGGCAUUUCCUCCUGGAUUCCUUGUACACGUUGGGGGUGUAGUUAGUGCACGUUCUGUGAAGCUUUUGGAUCGUAUCCACAAUCCUGUGAAGAGGUCUGCAUUUUAUCUGCAUCUGGCACAGCGGCUGUACUGAAUCCUAGAUUUCUGCAGGAUGGCACCGUGGAAGGCUGUUUGGAACAGAGGCUUGAAGAAAAUUUGCCUACACGUUGUGGAUUUUGUCAUAUACCAUAUGAUGAACUGAAUAUGCCAUUUCCAGCUCAUCUCACAUAUUGCUAUAACUGCAGGAAACAAAAAGUUCCUGAUGUUCUGUUUACAACUAUAGACCUCC